rnacentral:rRNA from 1 species
UCAUUUAGAGGAAGUAAAAGUCGUAACAAGGUUUCCGUAGGUGAACCUGCGGAAGGAUCAUUACCGAGUGAGGGCCCUCUGGGUCCAACCUCCCACCCGUGUUUAUUUUACCUUGUUGCUUCGGCGGGCCCGCCUUAACUGGCCGCCGGGGGGCUCACGCCCCCGGGCCCGCGCCCGCCGAAGACACCCUCGAACUCUGUCUGAAGAUUGAAGUCUGAGUGAAAAUAUAAAUUAUUUAAAACUUUCAACAACGGAUCUCUUGGUUCCGGCAUCGAUGAAGAACGCAGCGAAAUGCGAUACGUAAUGUGAAUUGCAAAUUCAGUGAAUCAUCGAGUCUUUGAACGCACAUUGCGCCCCCUGGUAUUCCGGGGGGCAUGCCUGUCCGAGCGUCAUUGCUGCCCUCAAGCCCGGCUUGUGUGUUGGGCCCCGUCCUCCGAUUUCCGGGGGACGGGCCCGAAAGGCAGCGGCGGCACCGCGUCCGGUCCUCGAGCGUAUGGGGCUUUGUCACCCGCUCUGUAGGCCCGGCCGGCGCUUGCCGAUCAACCCAAAUUUUUAUCCAGGGUUGACCUCGGAUCAGGUAGGGAUACCCGCUGAACUUAAGCAUAUCAAUAAGCGGAGGAA